GACGAACGCUGGCGGCGUGCUUAACACAUGCAAGUCGAACGGAAAGGCCCUGCUUUUGUGGGGUGCUCGAGUGGCGAACGGGUGAGUAACACGUGAGUAACCUGCCCUUGACUUUGGGAUAACUUCAGGAAACUGGGGCUAAUACCGGAUAGGAGCUCCUGCUGCAUGGUGGGGGUUGGAAAGUUUCGGCGGUUGGGGAUGGACUCGCGGCUUAUCAGCUUGUUGGUGGGGUAGUGGCUUACCAAGGCUUUGACGGGUAGCCGGCCUGAGAGGGUGACCGGCCACAUUGGGACUGAGAUACGGCCCAGACUCCUACGGGAGGCAGCAGUGGGGAAUAUUGGACAAUGGGCGGAAGCCUGAUGCAGCAACGCCGCGUGCGGGAUGACGGCCUUCGGGUUGUAAACCGCUUUCGCCUGUGACGAAGCGUGAGUGACGGUAAUGGGUAAAGAAGCACGGGCUAACUACGUG
rnacentral:rRNA from 1 species